ACUUUCAACAACGGAUCUCUUGGUUCUGGCAUCGAUGAAGAACGCAGCGAAAUGCGAUAAGUAAUGUGAAUUGCAGAAUUCAGUGAAUCAUCGAAUCUUUGAACGCACAUUGCGCCCGCCAGUAUCCUGGCGGGCAUGCCUGUCCGAGCGUCAUUACAACCC
rnacentral:rRNA from 1 species